UUGCGUCGUCCAUUUCAACGUUCUACAAAUGACCACAAACGCACGGCUCUUCACCUUACUUCCGCCGCGCACUCACUCUCUCCACACUCGUAUUACACAGCGCCCGGUGGCUCACCGUCGCCAUCUCCCCUAACUACUUCUCUGACCACGGUGUUUCUGUGGUAGCUCUAGAUCGCUCCUCAUUUUCACUCUUCAGUGCAGUGAUUGGCAUUUUCCGACUUCGAAUUUCACUCACACUACUGAAGUUUAGCUCCAUGGAGCUGAGAAGGUUCGGAUUCAAGCAAUGCGGUUCGUUCGUUCUACUUUUGAUUUCAGGUUUGUUGUUGCUGCCUGUUAUGGUGAGUUCAGUUGGAGUGAACUACGGUCAGAUAGCGAAUAAUCUUCCUGCUCCGGAGAAUGUGAUCCCGUUGGUGAAAUCAAUUGGAGCUACGAAGGUGAAGCUGUACGAUGCGAGUCCGAAGGUUCUUCGGGCAUUUGCUAAUACAAGUGUGGAGUUCAUAGUUGGACUUGGAAACGAGUACUUGUCUAAAAUGAAGAAUCCAGCCUGUGCGGAAGAGUGGGUGAAGAAUAAUGUUCAAGCGUACUUCCCUGGCACUAAAAUCACUUCAAUCUUCGUCGGCAAUGAGGUAUUAACCUUCAAUGACACUUCUCUAACUGCUAAUUUACUACCGGCGAUGCAAAGCGUGCACACGGCGCUCGUAAAUCUAGGGCUAGAUAAGCAGGUGGCGGUGACUACGGCGCAUUCUUUGGCGAUACUUGAAACUUCCUAUCCGCCUUCCGCUGGAGUAUUCCGUAGAGAUUUAGUUGAUUGUUUGGUUCCAAUCUUGGACUUCCAUGUCAAGAUCGGCUCCCCGUUCUUGAUCAAUGCGUACCCGUACUUUGCGUACAAGGCGAAUCCGAAGCAGGUUUCACUGGAUUUCGUCCUCUUCCAACCGAACCAAGGGGUUUUAGAUCCCGGCUCAAAUCUUCACUACGACAACAUGUUGUUCGCACAGAUCGACGCUGUUUACUACGCACUCGCCGCUGUUGGUUACAAGAAACUUCCUGUUCAUAUCUCGGAGACCGGAUGGCCGUCGAAGGGAGACGAAGACGAGGCCGGUGCGACCCCAGAGAAUGCAAAGAAGUACAAUGGGAACCUACUCAAGUUCAUCUGCCAGAAGAAGGGGACGCCAUUGAGGCCGAACUCGGAUCUCAACAUUUAUGUAUUUGCUCUUUUUAACGAGAAUAUGAAGCCUGGACCAACUUCGGAGAGGAAUUAUGGUCUUUUUAAGCCUGAUGGUACGCCGGUGUAUCAGCUCGGAUUUUCCAUUAACGACGGCGUUGGAAACGGAACUCAUGGCACUUCCAGCGCGCAACCCUCGCCGCCGGGACCUCCCACUACCUCCACCGGUUAUUUAGCCAUUUCCUCCGCCACGGAGAGAAGCCAUUGGGUCGGAUUCUUUUCAAUGUUCCUGUUUCUGAUGGUGUUCAAGUUGCUACUUUGAAUUUAGGAGAUUAUUUAUUUUCAGUGUAUGGUAUGUGUUCCGAAAGAUGCUUUGGAUUUAUUUCAUUUAUCAGAAUCAGCCGUUAAAAGCAAUAUUGGAAGAUGUUAAAGAGAAUAAGAGGCAGCGUCGGAUUUGGGAAAAGGGAUAUAUCAGUUUUUAGUAAUAAAUUCUUUUGAUGUGAAUUUGGGUUUGUGGAUGGACAUAAAAUCUGGUAGAUGGAUGAUCCAAAACUUGUUCUUUGUAAUGCCAUUUGGUAAUCAAAUUUUAUUAAUUUGCUUAUUUUUAUGUUCCUCUUUCCUCUAUACUCCACCUUCCUUUGGUUUCUCGUUUUGUUUCUUUUACAUGAGAAUUUUAAUGGAAUGUAAAAUUGUAACAUUAUUUGUAUACGGAACUAUUUGCAUUGAAAGGUUAGGGUUUGGAAAUGACCCAA